GUUUGUCUAUACCAACUACACAUCCCCCAUCUCAUGUGGGGCCCUUUAGCAACAGGCCCGAUGCACCUCACUCUGGUGACAAUAGACCCAUUUGUCAAAUCUGUAGUAAAAAGGGUCACAUGGCCCUUGAUUACUAUAAUUGAUUUAAUUUCUCCUAUCAAGGCCGCUUACCACCAUCAGAUCUUGCUACUAUAAUUGCUGAAGGUAAUACUUCUUAUGCUCAACAAGUGUGUUAUGCAAACAGUGGGGCCAAUGCCCACAUUACCAAUAAUACGGCAAACCUCACCACCGCACAACCCUAUGAAGGAGAAGAGACUAUCACAGUUGGAAAUGGCUCAGGUUUGGUGAUUCAAAAUAUGGAAGAAUAACAUUGGACGACUACUACUCCAAGGGCAAGUUAAGAACAGACUAUAUCCAAUUGUAGACAACAAAUAUUGUUCAAAUAAAAUUUCUUGUUUUGUAGCUAAACUCGGUGUGUCCACCACUCUCGACACGUGGCAUGAUCGUCUUGGCCACCUGUUUCAAGUUGUUUUAAAUAAAUUGGUCACUUCCAAACAUUUAGAUGUUUCCACACCAAACAAAAUUGUUUGUCGUAUCCUUUAGGGAAAUCUAAACAAUUACCCUUUAGUGACUCAACUCGUCAAACAACUCGUCCUUUAGCACUUAUUCAUUUCGAUGUAUGGACAUCUCCUGUGUAUUCGGUUGGUGGAUCGAAAUAUUAUGUUCUUUUUGUUGA